AGUGAACGCUGGCGGUGGGCCUAACACAUGCAAGUCGAACGGCAGCACAGUAAGAGCUUGCUCUUACGGGUGGCGAGUGGCGGACGGGUGAGGAAUACAUCGGAAUCUACUUUUUCGUGGGGGGUAACGUAGGGAAACUUACGCUAAUACCGCAUACGACCUACGGGUGAAAGCAGGGGAUCUUCGGACCUUGCGCGAUUGAAUGAGCCGAUGUCGGAUUAGCUAGUUGGCGGGGUAAAGGCCCACCAAGGCGACGAUCCGUAGCUGGUCUGAGAGGAUGAUCAGCCACACUGGAACUGAGACACGGUCCAGACUCCUACGGGAGGCAGCAGUGGGGAAUAUUGGACAAUGGGCGCAAGCCUGAUCCAGCCAUACCGCGUGGGUGAAGAAGGCCUUCGGGUUGUAAAGCCCUUUUGUUGGGAAAGAAAAGCAGCAGGUUAAUACCCCGCUGUUCUGACGGUACCCAAAGAAUAAGCACCGGCUAACUUCGU
rnacentral:rRNA from 1 species